UACGGGGGGGGGCAAGCGUUGUUCGGAAUUACUGGGCGUAAAGCGCGCGUAGGCGGCUCUUCAAGUCGAGUGUGAAAGCUCCAGGCUUAACCUGGGAAUUGCGCUCGAUACUGUUGAGCUAGAGUGUGGAAGGGGCUACUGGAAUUCCGGUGUGUAGCGGGUGAAAUGCGUAGAUAUAACGGAGGAACACCAGCGGCGAAGGCGGGUAGCUGGGCCGAACACGUGACGCUGGAUGUGCGAAAAGCUAGGGGGAGCAAACGGGG
rnacentral:rRNA from 1 species